UCCGGUUUGUCACCGGCAGUCUAUCUAGAGUGCCCACCAUAAUGUGCUGGCAACUAAAUAUAAGGGUUGCGCUCGUUGCGGGACUUAACCCAACAUCUCACGACACGAGCUGACGACAACCAUGCACCACCUGUCUCCUCUGUCCCGAAGGCCGCCACUAUCUCUAGUGGAUUCAGAGGGAUGUCAAGACCUGGUAAGGUUCUUCGCGUUGCUUCGAAUUAAACCACAUACUCCACUGCUUGUGCGGGUCCCCGUCAAUUCCUUUGAGUUUCAGUCUUGCGACCGUACUCCCCAGGCGGAGUGCUUAAUGUGUUAACUUCGGCACCAAGGGUAUCGAAACCCCUAACACCUAGCACUCAUCGUUUACGGCGUGGACUAC
rnacentral:misc_RNA from 1 species